GUCAGCCUGGUGACGCUCUCUCACUGUACAGGAGGGCUGGAGAUAAAAAGACCGACACACACUCCUCCCACCACUCAGUCCACUGAAUCAGGGGUGUCGGUGAAUACUGCUGUUCACAAAGGGGUAGAGGAGGUUUUACCUACAGAGCGAUCCAAAAACCACAGAGGACGGAGUAACUGAAAAUAUAAACGGGACGAUUUUUUUUUUAAGCUCAACCGAAGCCACCACCAACAGCCGUCCCGCACUCACCUCACCCGGCUCCUUUCUCCUUUGUUUUCGCUGUGAAACUUCGGCUCUGUCAGCAUUUACCGGCCACCCACCUCUCACACGUUACCUCUGACACGGGUUGUCCCCGUUUGACUCUCGGACAGGGGGGACAUUUUUUUUUUCUUUUACCGAGGAGAAAGAGCCUCAACUUCACCGAGCGGCGCGAAGCUAACUGUGAAAUCAAAGAAAAGUGGCAGCAGCCCUCAGACAGGAUACUUUGUCGUCAGUGGGAUGUUAGAGCUCUGGCAGCGGGACUGACAGAAGGAGCAUGGUGAAACACCAACCCCUCCAGGUCUAUGAGCGCCAGCUGUGUUUGUCAUGUAUCACUGGGAUCUACGGUUGCCGCUGGAAACGCUAUCAACGUUCCCAUGAUGACACCACCAAGUGGGAGCUGCUGUGGUCCCUCAUCCUUCUCUUUACCUUCUGUCUGCUGCUUGUCUGGUUCUACUUCUGGUGGGAGGCACAUAACGACUACAAUGAGUUCAACUGGUUCCUCUAUAACCGCUCCAGGGAGUGGAGUGAUGGCACUGUUCCCAUCUUGGCCACCACUGCUGCCGGCUUCACCUACAUUGCAUUUUUAAUGGUUUUAGCACUUUGCCACAUUGCACUUGGGCAACAGUUGAAUUUGCACUGGCUCCAUAAGAUAGGAGUUACCACUGCUCUACUCACCACUAUUGUUGGGGUGAUAUCUGUCAAUCAAACAUGGGGCCAAGAGUGGGAUGUUGUCCCCAUCUCCUUGCAGGCCACAGGUCCAUUCCUGCACAUUGGGGCUCUCGCUGCGAUCACAGCACUGUCAUGGAUUGUGGCUGGACAGGUCGCCCGCUCAGAGAAAACAAUGUUCCAGGUGGUGGUCGUGCUGCUGUACAUCAGUGUGUUACUGGGACUCUAUGUGGUACCCCUCUACAUCACCUCUCCCUGCAUCAUGGACCCAACCACCCUCAAACAACGCCCCGAUGUUAUUGGCCACCAGGGGGCCCCCAUGCUCGCUCCAGAGAACACACUGUGGUCCUUUCAGCGAGCUCUGCAGAUGAACGUCACUGGGUUUGAGGCUGACGUGGCUAUCAGUGUGGACGGAGUGCCUUUCCUGAUGCACGACCACACCUUGGAGAGGACCACAAACGCAGAGAAGGUUUUCCCAGGCAGACAGACAGAUGACGCCUCACACUUCAACUGGACAGAUCUGCAGCAGCUCAACGCAGGACAGUGGUUCCUCAAGGAUGACCCCUUCUGGACAGUGCACAGCCUGUCCCCCCAUGAGAAGGAUCUGAUUGCCAACCAGAGUGUAUGCAGCCUGGAGCAGCUUCUAAAGCUGGCUUCCUAUCACAACAGCACAGUGGUGUUCAGGCUGAGGAGACCUCCUCCAGAGCACCCCUGCUACGACAGCUGGAUCAAUGAUACACUGCAGGCUGUGCAGCAGUCUGGGGUCCCUCAGAGCCUGGUGAUGUGGACUCCAAGUGAACACAGAGCUCAGGUGAGACAGCUGGCACCUGGUCUGAUCCAGACCUCAGUGGACAAACUGACUCCUGAAACUCUUCAUCGGUCUGGCAUCAGCAGGCUGCUGCUCAGAUACAACCAGGCGAGCACACAGGAAAUCAGAAACUUCUCCGAGAGCAACAUCAACCUCACCCUCUACACCAUCAACGAGCCCUGGCUGUACUCAGUGCUCUGGUGCAGCGGGGUGUCUUCAGUCUCCUCAGAGGCCCCACAUAUCCUCAAUAAGGUGCCUUACCCCAUCUGGCUCAUGAGACCAGAUGAAUACUGCCUGAUGUGGGUGUCUGCAGACCUCAUCUCCUUUGCUGUAGUCAUAGGAAUAUUCAUUUUCCAGAACUAUCACGUGAUCAGGUAUCGGACGAGCGGUAUGCGCAGCUACAACCCUGAGCAGAUCAUGCUGAGCGCCGCCGUCAGGAGGUCCAGCAGAGACCUCAAUGUGAUGAAGGAGAAACUCAUCUUCUCUGGUCAGCCCCAGUAGCAGCCUGUGUGAUGUGCACCACCUCCUGUCCAUGCCACCAGCAGUGUGACUUCUUCCUUUAUUCCAUGCAUCCAUUGCAUCCCUCGUUACCCACCACUCCUCUGCCUACUGUGCCCCUCUCCUCCUUCAUCCAUCCAUCCAUCCAUCCCUUCAUGCACCAUACCUCCCCCAUAAACCCUCUCACUGGAGACUACGUCAUGUGUAUGGGAGCUUAUAGACACUCCAGUCUGUCUAGACAGCCCCCUAGUGCUGGGGGGGUCAAAGAGGUAGGGAAUGGAGUUGGCAGUGCUGAGGAGCUGUACGUGGACAAUGGCUACGACUACUACACCAAUCGAGGCAUCAGCCAGUGACUGGGACCGUGUGAAUCUGCCCACAUCAUUCCUGCUCAAGUCAGAGUGAAGUCUGUUCCCCUCCUCUGUCCUGCUGAUCAGCUGACAGACUGCUGUACAUGACAGAGAAGACAUCCACCCAGUUGCUUUUGUGUAAAUUGUGUAAAUAGUUUUGCUUGUCAGACAUACUGUAUAUCGCAUGGGACUUCACGCACUUUUUAUCAGCAGAAUACGCCAAAUCUCUCACAUCUAAAUGUCCCAGAGGCCCCUCUGAGUUACCGAUGCCUGCUUCUUUUUAAAGACGUUUUUUUUUCCAUGUUUUAAGCUAAUUUUCCAAAGCAGUUUCUCGUUUUUAACCACUGUAAAUGAUAUUCUCCUCUCAGCGGAUGCAUGAGACUAAACGCUAGCAGCUCAUUAUCCUCCCUGCCUUCUGUCAGCACUCCACUGUGCUGUUGUUCAUAAAAGUACAAGUAUUAAUAUUUAUAUUUAAAGAGAAAAACAAAAAACACAAACAAGCUGUUUACAGAAGUCCUGCCUUCUCCUCCAGGUGAAAUAUUCACGUGGUGUAUGUAAGAUAUCACCUGGUGUGUGUGUGUGUGUGUGUGUGUGUGUGUGUGUGUGUGUGUGUGUGAGAGCGAUAGAGAGAGCUGUGCUCCCAACAACCAGAGGAACUGGUGAAAAUGGAUUGGGGAGGAACAUUUGUGUUGUCUUUUUAUGCUAAUGUGAAUGUGUUUGGAUUUUUUUUUUUUUUUUUAAAGAUGUGUACGGUGUAUUGUGUGUAUUCUGGCUGGGUACAUAUUUCUUACCCUGUGUGCAGUGCUACGUUGAGUGUAUUAUUGUACAUACAAGGUGAACCAAUGCAUGAGAUGCUCCAGCCAACUAAGAAUUACAUUGGAACUAUGUGACGGUGAUGAAACUGUUGAACAACUCCAAUAGCAAUAGUCUGGUCAUGGUGGAAGUCGAGUCACUUCCUGCUCAGCCUCUGAAUUACAGUUAAGUCUGUGGUGUUUUAGUGUUGACAUGCAUCUAACUGUCGGUUGCUGGUGUAAACCUGAAUGCUUUAGGUAAAUGAAGUGGAUGCUAAAUGUGAAUAUAAAGCUCUAAGCUAACUGAAGGGACACUACAGUUAUCACACGAGGCAGUGCAGGGUUAAGAAGAUGGAUUGCCUUCUGUGUUUCUUUUUCCUUUCUUUGGGUAUUACUGUGCCUCAGAAUUAAACAUUAAAAAGUCUUCUAAAACAGGA